AACGAACGCUGGCGGCAGGCCUAACACAUGCAAGUCGAACGCUGUAGCAAUACAGAGUGGCAGACGGGUGAGUAACACGUGGGAAUCUUCCUAUCGGUACGGAAUAGCUCAGGGAAACUUGGGGUAAUACCGCAUACGCCCUUCGGGGGAAAGAUUUAUCGCCGAUAGAUGAGCCCGCGUCUGAUUAGCUAGUUGGUGAGGUAAUGGCUCACCAAGGCGACGAUCAGUAGCUGGUCUGAGAGGAUGACCAGCCACACUGGGACUGAGACACGGCCCAGACUCCUACGGGAGGCAGCAGUGGGGAAUAUUGGACAAUGGGGGCAACCCUGAUCCAGCCAUGCCGCGUGAGUGACGAAGGUCUUCGGAUUGUAAAGCUCUUUUGGCGGGGACGAUAAUGACGGUACCCGCAGAAUAAGCCCCGGCUAACUUCGUGCCAGCCGCCGCCGUAA
rnacentral:rRNA from 1 species